ACGAACGCUGGCGGCGUGCCUAAUACAUGCAAGUAGAACGCUGAAGAGAGGAGCUUGCUCUUCUUGGAUGAGUUGCGAACGGGUGAGUAACGCGUAGGUAACCUGCCUUGUAGCGGGGGAUAACUAUUGGAAACGAUAGCUAAUACCGCAUAACAAUGGAUGACACAUGUCAUUUAUUUGAAAGGGGCAAUUGUUCCACUACAAGAUGGACCUGCGUUGUAUUAGCUAGUAGGUGAGGUAAUGGCUCACCUAGGCGACGAUACAUAGCCGACCUGAGAGGGUGAUCGGCCACACUGUGACGGAGACACGGCCCAGACUCCUACGGGAGGCAGCAGUAGGGAAUCUUCGGCAAUGGGGGCAACCCUGACCGAGCAACGCCGCGUGAGUGAAGAAGGUUUUCGGAUCGUAAAGAUCUGUUGUAAGUCAAGAACGGGUGUGAGAGUGGAAAGUUCACACUGUGACGGUAGCUUACCAGAAAGGGACGGCUAACUACGUG
rnacentral:rRNA from 1 species